rnacentral:rRNA from 1 species
AAUAGCUUGCUAAUUGAUUUCCUAGUGGCGGACGGGUUAGUAACACGUGAGCAACCUGCCCUGAUGUGGGGGAUAGCCUUUCGAAAGGAAGAUUAAUACCGCAUGUGCUCUUCGGAGUAAAGAUGCCUUCGGGUGUCGCGUCAGGAUGGGCUCGCGGCCUAUCAGCUUGUUGGUGAGGUAACGGCUCACCAAGGCAACGACGGGUAGCUGGUCUGAGAGGACGAUCAGCAACACUGGAACUGAGACACGGUCCAGACACCUACGGGUGGCAGCAGUCGAGAAUCAUUCACAAUGGGGGAAACCCUGAUGGUGCAACGCCGCGUGGAGGAUGAAGGCCCUAGGGUCGUAAACUCCUGUCAUAUGAGAGUAAGGCAUAUGUGUUAAUAGCAUGUAUGUUUGAUAGUAUCAUAAGAGGAAGGGACGGCUAACUUCGUGCCAGCAGCCGCGGUAAUACGAAGGUCCCGAGCGUUAUUCGGAAUCACUGGGCGUAAAGAGUACGUAGGCGGUCAGGUAAGUCAGGUGUGAAAUCCCGGGGCUCAACCCCGGAACUGCAUCCGAUACUGCUUGACUUGAAUAAUGGAGGGGCAGGUGGAAUUCUCGGUGUAGCAGUGAAAUGCGUGGAUAUCGAGAGGAAGACCAAUGGCGAAGGCAACCUGCUGGACAUUUACUGACGCUGAGGUACGAAGGCCAGGGUAGCGAAAGGGAUUAGAUACCCCUGUAGUCCUGGCAGUAAACGGUGCGCGCUUGGUGUAGGAGGACUCGACCCCUUCUGUGCCGGAGCUAACGCGUUAAGCGCGCCGCCUGGGGAGUACGGUCGCAAGACUAAAACUCAAAGAAAUUGACGGGGACCCGCACAAGCGGUGGAGUAUGUGGCUUAAUUCGAUGCAACGCGAA